ensembl:lncRNA
CGAAUACCUGCGCGGGCACCGGCCUAUUCAACACCUGCAUGAAAGAAAACCUUCCCGAGCCGCAUGGUACGAAAAUACUCCGGGGAGGAGCACUUCUGAUGGACUGCUUUCCGGCAGUUUCGCCGUAUCGCACGGAGACGGACAGACGGACAGACUGCAUCCACUGUCCAAUUCAAAAGAAAGGAUGCAGCGUGGAUACACCAGGACUUGGCCUCCUCCAAACAAAUAAGGCGGGGCGACGGGGCGGGCCGGAUGGUGAGC